rnacentral:rRNA from 1 species
UUAGUAAACAGAAGCCUCGGUGGAAGAUUACUACUGAGAUGGCCGAACCGGCGUGAGUAACGCGUGAGCAACCUGCCUAUGACAGUGGGAUAGCCUCGGGAAACCGGGAUUAAUACCGCAUAAAAUCGUAGAAACACAUGUUUCAACGGUCAAAGAUUUAUCGGUCAUAGAUGGGCUCGCGUCUGACUAGCUAGUUGGUGAGAUAACAGCCCACCAAGGCGACGAUCAGUAGCCGGUCUGAGAGGAUGAACGGCCACAUUGGAACUGAGACACGGUCCAAACUCCUACGGGAGGCAGCAGUGGGGAAUAUUGCACAAUGGGGGAAACCCUGAUGCAGCGACGCCGCGUGAACGAAGAAGGUAUUCGUAUCGUAAAGUUCUGUCCUAUGGGAAGAUAAUGACAGUACCAUAGAAGAAAGCUCCGGCUAAAUACGUGCCAGCAGCCGCGGUAAUACGUAUGGAGCGAGCGUUGUCCGGAAUUAUUGGGCGUAAAGGGUACGCAGGCGGUUUAAUAAGUCGAAUGUUAAAGAUCGGGGCUCAACCCCGUAAAGCAUUGGAAACUGAUAAACUUGAGUAGUGGAGAGGAAAGUGGAAUUCCUAGUGUAGUGGUGAGAUACGUAGAUAUUAGGAGGAAUACCAGUAGCGAAGGCGACUUUCUGGACACAAACUGACGCUGAGGUACGAAAGCGUGGGGAGCAAACAGGAUUAGAUACCCUGGUAGUCGCACGCCGUAAACGAUGAAUGCUAGGUGUUGGGGGUCAAACCUCGGUGCCGAAGUUAACACAUUAAGCAUUCCGCCUGGGGAGUACGCACGCAAGUGUG